rnacentral:lncRNA from 1 species
UUUCAAAAACAAUAUAUAAAAACUCAUAUCCAUACCACAUUUUAUUUUCACAUAUAAGAGAACAAGUGACGAUAAUUUUUCUUUUUUACUUACUUACUAGUACCUCUGGGGGUCCAUAGGGAUGUCACCCUACUCGUGAACUAAAUAUCCAAUUUUAACAAUUAAUCGACCGUCUUCAUACCCCGUCCGAUAAUAGACGCCAAACUUUUCAUUGCCUUAAUAUUCCGUCCAAUAUGAGGGUGAACCAUAUCUUCCAAACUUUUCUGGUAUAGGACUUCCCAGCUCCAUCCGACUGAGGUGACGUUCGCGAUA